CGCUCCCUAGAGAGUGGAGAGGAGAGAGGCAUCUCAGAGACAGACAGGAAAGGGUUAUAGCAUUGGCUUAGUUCCUGUGGGUGAUCUUGGACUAGUUGCUGCAUCUAUGGUGGCUGUGUUUCUCUGUGCAUUAAAAGGAGAGGCCUUUUAAUAGGAGAAUCAAAGUACAUCUAAAAUCCUGUGAUACUCAGCUAAUUUGUGGUGUGGUGAGGCUUCCAGGCCCGUGCUCUCUACCUAGUAUUUUUUUCACUUAAUUUUAGCAGACUUGUAUUGGGAAUAUCUGGUAUCUGCAUUAACAUACUUGAACCUGCUUCUAAAAUGUAUUUCUUGAGACUCAGGUAUUUACUGUUGGUAAGGAGGGACGGGAUUUAGCAUUUUCCCAGUCUUAAUGUACCUGUAGACUGAGCUUGUUUUCUAGGCCAUUAACAUAGUUCUGUCAGGGUGGUGGUGCAGUGUUAACCUGUGGGAUCUGUUGACCUACGCUUUUAGGAUGAUAGCUCUGGCAUUGCUGAGGCAAGUAUGACUGACUAGUUACACCUUUUAUGUGUUCUGGUUCUGCUCCUUCAGUACCAGCUGAAUACUGAUGUUCAGUAGGAUUAUGUUGUGACUUUGGUUUAAUAAAAUACCUGAGAUCAAAUCUAACUUCUCUGUGAAAGUGUUUUUCCCACUGCAGUUUGAGAGCUCUCUCAUGGAUGCUGCUGAUAAACUUCAGAUACUUUUUGUGCACCUCCUCUUCCAUUCUGGGCUUCUAAAGAAGCAGAAUCCAAAGUGAUUCAUGGCAGUGAGUAAUGUGUUUGCAGAGCCCUUUCGCUCACACAAGGUAGUUGUUAUUUAAGGAAGUUACAGUUAGUCCCUUAAAUACUGCAUGUAGCCUUGGUGCAUUGGUGGCUGAAGAGACAAAAAAGGAAAGCUGCAUUGUCUCAUAGUUUGGGGAGUACCAGGCUUUCUGAUCACCCCCUGUAGCACAUAAUUGGUACAAGGACUAGUACCUGAGAGCGUUAGGUGGAAAGAUGAAAAAGACUGUGCUCACAACAUGCCUUGUGACCUGCUAAAUGCCACAGAGGGUGGGAGUGAAGACUGCACAGGGUAGCCAAAGUGAAAUAAUGAAAAGGAGUAACACAACACUCCAUUUAUUAUACACCCGUAAUCUUCUGGCAUGUUGUAUUCCUCUCAUCUGAGCUUUAGGUGGACCUGUAACCUUGAUACUCCCAGUGAGGCAAUAACGGGUCUUUGUAAAACAGUGUUUUAUUCAUUCCUGUCUCAUCUAGAGUGGGAUUAUAAUGUCAGCCCUCUCCGGGGGGUGCACUGAGCAAAGGUCAGCACAGAUCCUCAGACUCCCGGAGUUUGUAAUUGGGAGAGCAGUGAGGCUGCAGGAUUCGGUGCCAAAGCAUUGUCCUGCUGAGAGGAAGGAGCAAUUUGUGAUGCAGCAUCUCCCAAGGUGUCUCCAGAGACAGUGGAAGUGACUGGAAGGAGGAUCGUUGGUCUUCCAAAUGCAACACGAUGUAUGAGUCAAAACGAUUUGGUCACAGAAUCGCAUCUACGCUGGGAAUACCAUGGGGCCGCUGGAAUUCUUUUCACGUAUCGCUGAUUCGUGACUGGAAGUUCAGAGCACAGGUUUGCCUUGAGAAAUUUUACUAGGAGCAGGCUUUCAGCUGCUGAUUAAACCCUGUAAUUAAACCUCACACUGUUCAAUUCUACUUAGAUGAGAUCUGCACGAGACAGGAUUUAAACAAUAGGAGCAGCCUGUUUGGGAGCCUUCCACACUAUUUCUGGUUUAGCUGGCAGUGUAUUAAUGAGGGAUGCAAAGCACUAGUGUGGGUACAGACUAUUAUUUUGAUUAAUGAGCAAAUAAAUCGUGCUCUUUGAAUAUGAUUAGGCCUAUGGUUCUCUGAUUUGCAUUCAGAGUCUGCACAAGCCUAGAUAAGGGAAGCCUGUGCUGGCUUGCACAAUUUCUAAACUACCCAGAGGAACUUUAACUUCCUUUUCUUUGCAUUUUGACCUGUUCCCUUACAUUGUAUGGCUUAAAGUUGCAUGUUACAACAUAAACCAAAGAGCAUUACCAAACUCUAGCUGAGUGCCUCUUAUGUCCUGAACAACUUUCUCUUGUUCUUUGGGCCAAAACAAUUCACAUGCUUCCAAGCAAAGCACUUUUCCUGCUUUGUAUUCUAGCUAAUGAGUGGUUCUUUGGUUAAUGGUUAUUUAAUCAAUGUUUUCUUUAAAGUCCAGCUAUGUUGGGUCUGAUGUAAGCCACCCACUGCCUUGUUUCAGAACUAAGUUUGUCAGGCUACAAUGAGUUGUUUUAGAAUAAGAUCAUGUAUUUAAAUGCAGCCCAGCAGUCACAUGGAAGCUCAUUCCAGAUUUAACUCUUGACUGCAAAGCCGUUACGUCAGUGGUGAGGCUGAGUGUGGAUGUUUUGAUGUGCUGUUUGAAGAGCAGUGACCUGUUCCAGAUCUGUUCCAGGAUGUGUUCACUCAGCAGUGCAUUUAGUCAUUCCUUCUAGAUGGAUUUUAUCACUCACCAUCUCAGUGUCUGCCUAAGAUUAUCUGGGAUAUCCACCUAAAUCCAUCCUCCUAGCAACAUGGGAUACGUAUCAGCUUCAUUAAUAACUUUCCAAUAAAGAAUAUAAACAAAGCUAAGGGCAUUUUCCAAGUAGCUGGCUGAGAGCUUGGAAAAUUUGCUGAUCAGGACACCCAGGCAAGCAGAGAGCUGGGCGUGCUGGUCAGUGAGAACCUGCUUAAUCCCAUCUAAACCAGAGCAGGGAGGACACCUCAGGACAGUGAAUUGCAAGCAUCCAUCCUGGCCAGGCUCAGCUGGGUCCCUGCUGUGUGACCCUUCCUGGCAGCUAGGGUUCAGACAAGGUGGUGUUACUCCUAGGAGUAACUGGACAGCCCUGCAGGGAGUGUUUCAGCAGUGAAAGAACAGGCAAGAACAAACCCCAUGUACCACAGGGCUGUGCACAUACUGCAGUGCUGUGUAACCUCACCCUGAGGUACAGCUUGGCAUGACUUUUACAAAGUGAAGUAUCGUGAUUAUGUUGUUUGGGUAGAUUAAAACUCAGAACAGUUGAGCAUCAAUAUGCAUCCCUGAAAUAGCUGUGUCAGCCACUACAACUAAGCCAACUGCUUUGGAAACUCAACUCUAGCUUUGAAAGGAUGGUUUCCUAGUAAUACUGAAUGCUUGGCCAGCCUGUUUUCCCAUCUUUGAAUGAUAGGUGGUGCACAAAUGUUAAUGUUAUCUCUAUUUUACCCAUUAUGGGUUUUGUUCCAGCAUUAAGGAAAGGUAAUGCUAAUGAAGUAUACCCAGGAGAUGAGUUCCAUUUUCAUAUUUUCUUACACCAGAAGCUGUACUGCUGUAAGUGAUGAACAUAAAUAUUGUAUUGCCUUGAAUUUGACCUCACAACCUGUUAAAAUACACAAAUACCAGAUAUUUCAGUGCCUGGGCUAUUUGCUUUUCUGCUUUUGUGGUUUGUUUUUUUUUUUUUGCAAUCAGUGAAGUUUUCUUGCCAUUCCCUUCUCCAGGUCUUAAGUUACUUGAUCUGAUAAACCAGUGUCCUCUUGCUUGCUCCUUGACAGCUAUUCUCAAGUAAACACAUUCAUGCUGGGCUCAUUGGUUAUAGGAAGCCUGCAGUGAUCAGCUGAGACAGGAACUAAGGUUUAUCCCUGCUAGAAGGAGCCUCAUUUACACCCCGAAGCGUAAAUAAAUGAGAGUACUUAAAUGUCAGGCAAUGUGCACAGAUGGGGCUUAUAUUUAUCUGGGACUGUGUUGAGCCAAAUGUUGACAAAACAGGGGUUAAUAUUCUUAAACAGAGUAGUUGGGUGCCCAGUAUUUUUCUUGUAAGCCAGCCUCAGCUGUAAGCAACAGCUUGGAAACUUGGCUGCGUGUCAUAAGGUGCCCCUAAUCCAAGGGCUAGAGCUGAAAUGCAGUGUAACUGAGCUGCAGUGCUUCCACGUUUGCAGUUCUGUGAUUUCUCCUAUUUGACUGGGUUCAGUGGCUGCAAAUAUGUACGGAAUUGGAGAAAUCCAACCCAUGAUGAUAGGGGGUAGGAACUGCUGGAAUUUUCUGUGCCUCUUCCCAGGUCCUUCAGGAUUCCUGCUGUACUUCCUCACUCUCACCUUUAACAGCCAGCAUGUUAGUAACGAGCUAAUGAUCAGAAGAGACAUGGUCACGGUUCCUACAGGAAUCCACAAGGUAUUUAUAAGCACUAAUGUGACUGUGGAAUUUCUUUUCUUGCCAUUUUCCUCUCCACUAAAGGCACCACAUCCAGCAUAAGUCUCACAGGUUGAAUUUCCCCCUUGCUCUCCUUUUUGCAGGCACUCAUCAUCCCUCCUGUUCCUGCUGCCGCCUUUCCAGAGUGGAAAGUCCAGUCAAAUUCUGCACCACCCCUGUCAUUUCAACAAAGAAUGUUACUGCAGGCUGACACUAAGAAGGGACUUUUCAUCCAUAACAAGCACACCGGUUCCCAUCCAGCUGCUGUGAAGCCACUACCCGAUUCCUCAGCAUUUCUAAUUGCAGGGGGAUGCAGGUGUUGAAGCAGUGACUGAGCAGGAGCCUGCAUGGUGGUGCCAUGAGUGGAGUGUGGUUGUGCAGCAGGGGACUGGCACUGGUGUCAGCAGCGUGCUGAGGAUGAAGCGCUGGGCACACUGCAGUAAGGUACUUACUGGGAUGGGUGUGGAGCCUGCCUUUCAUACAGGGAAGCGAGGAGGACUGUAAAGAUUUUAUUGACAUGAGGUUGGGAUGUUUGGGUUGCUGGGCACUGGAUCAAGCAGACUUCUUGAAGAGGCUGUGGUAACCUAGAAGGAUGCUCAGGAGUAAUGUAGCUUUCAUAUGAGCUCUAAAAAGAGGUUUAUGUGUUUGGAGAGGGGGCUGUGUGUGUGUCCUUCCCUUCAGGAUUAUGUGAAAUUCUUCCAAUUUCUCGCUCUAAACGUAAAUCAUUUGAAGUCUGUAGAAGUCCCAUGUGAGCCAAGCCUAACGAAAGCCUGAGUCAGGCUUUUCCUGGAAACUAAUCCUGCUGUGCCAUGGGGGUGAACGUCAGUGGAAGAUGUGUGGCUGUGCAGAUCUCCUUUUUCAGCCAGAGCAUAUUGGAAAUCAAACCUCAGUGUCUUGGGUUCAGAACCCACCAUCCUCGAGAUUUGGUAAAUAUGAAAUAUUAAGCUCUAUUUGAUUGAGUAUUCGAUCUGUACUUAGUGGAAAACCUGCUCUGAGUUUGAGGAGGAUAAAUUGUAUUCUAUGGGAAUCAAAUAGGUGUGAAUACCUGUGUUCAGGCCAAAUUUGGUCUUUGUAAUACAUGUAAUCAGCUCUAAAGAGGCUUUAGAGGGAUCUACACUAUCACAAAGUGAAUUAAAUUUAUGCCAUGGGGCGGAUAACUUAUUAUCAUAGAUAACAAAUAAUGUAUUACCAUAAAGAACUCAUUCUGGCUGCUCUUUUGAGCCCCCCUGCUGCUAACAACAGCCUCUGUGCUACAGCAUCCUUUGUGGCUCUGCAUUGGUAACAGCUCUGGGAUAGAGCAUCCCCCUCGCUCCCACACUGUUUGCUAGUGAUGAGAAGUUGUUUGUUUGAUGACUGACACAGCCGGUAUGGAGUGUAUUGUGACAACAGUGCAAUGAUGGAUCUGACAAGUCCCAAGACAUCCUAUCCGUGGAACAUGGAUCUUUCAUGGUCUGGCUUCACUGUGUUGGAGCAUGGAGGCCAGAAUGCCUGAGCAGAGCUGCAUGAAGGAAUGGGCAGGAGUGGACCUUGGAGACAACAACUUGCAGUCUGCCCAUAGCACAGGGAUGGAUCCGGACAAGGGCUGUGCGGCCACGAGCUCCUCCCAGCCUUGGUGUGACCACAGCGCUGAUGGGAAGCCAGGGCUACGAAAGCAGAGGCUGGUUUGGUAUAAUUAAGUAUUUUCUAGAUGACUGGCUUUGAAAUGUCAUUAAAGUUAUUUUCAUGCAAGGGGUUUUGCUAUAUCUGUUUAAAUAGCAAAUAUACCAAAUGAUGCUUUAAAUAUUAAUACAAGAGGGUGUUUUGCUGAAUUUAACUUUGCCAAUUGAUUUUAAGCUAUUAUGUGUAUUACAUGGAGGAGUGUUUGCUGGUUUUGCUGCCUGCAAGAGAAUGCAAGGAGCAAAGAGAAGCUCUUGGUGCACUUAUAGGUGGGCUGGAAGGAAGAGAAACUGAAAUGAAGGCAAGACCAAGUCACUGCAGUUGGGAAAUGGAGAAGGCAAAAGAUCAAAAAAGCCUAUUACUCUUAACUCCAGGUUUUCUUUUAGCUGCAGAUGAAAGUAGGAGGAAGGGGAAAGAGGACUCACUUAGGAAAGCUGCUCAAAUAUUCAUUCACCUACUUAAUUUGGAAAUGUGAUUAAAAGUUUGCAGGUUUCAACUAGAUCUAGUGUCACUUAAAAACUUAAAUGUGAUUUCAUUAAUACUCUCCCCCUUUCCAAAAGCAGAGGGCACUGUAAAGACUUGCUUUAGCCCUCCUGGCUUCACUGGGUGGCUCAGCUCAUCCCUGUUCCUGGGGCUUUGCCACACUGAUUGGGAAAGGACAGGAUUGAGUCUCCAGCCCAGCUAUCAGCUAUCAUAUUCUUUUUAGGAAGAAGUAAUUUAUGUCUUCCUGUCCUUUGGCAUGUUGCUUUCUGGAAGACACAGACGAGGCACCACUGUAAAUGAGUUCAGUUAUAUAAAGCCCUGAAAUACACAGGACUCUUCUCUCUCUUUAAGUAGCUUAUGAUCUUUCCAGUGCUCUUUGCAGUGCUCCUGCUUUAUAGUCCUGUUCCUGCUUUAUAGUCCUGCUCCUGCUUUAUAGCCCUGCUCACAGCUGCAUCCAUUCAAUGGCCUGUUCUUGCGCAGCUUUUACUUGGGAGGUUACAGCAAUGUGCUUGCAGCAGCAGCCCUAUGAAAAUGUGUCCUGCAGCCACAAGGGAGGAAUAAUGGAUGGGCUCAGAAUGACAGAACAAGAUGUAUGACAACGUUUCAAACAGGAAGGGCCCAAACCCCAACAAUUGACCUUCCUUACCUUGGAGUUGUGUGUGAAGCGUAUUGGAGGAGCCUGUUGUGGGGAUGCAUCCCCAAAUGAGUGUGUGUGUACUGUACAGGGGCUGAAGGGACCUUUGGGCUCAGAACCCACACAGCCCAUUCACUCCUAACUGGCACUGAGCCUCGCUGCCCGUCCCCAUCCCUUUGGAGCCAGAGCACAGGCUGUGGGCUCCAGACAGGAUCCCACAGGAUCCCAAGC